rnacentral:misc_RNA from 1 species
AAGUCGUAACAAGGUUUCCGUAGGUGAACCUGCGGAAGGAUCAUUAACACGUACCAAACGUAUCAACCCCUUUAUAUGAACUAUUAACCCGCCCUUUGCCUGCGCUUGAAGGAAAGUUUUUACGAACUUUUCUGAAGCAGCUCACAGUUGGGAACGACUGUGUUGCUGGCGUUCUGUUUCUCUCUUUUGAGAAGCAGUUCCGCGUAGAACUGUGUGCCUUUUUUUUCAACCCAUUCUCUGGUUUGACGAAAUUAACACUUCUUGUUUGUGCUCGCACAGCAGGAUUUUAUUUAUUGAACUUAAACAACUUUUAGCAACGGAUGUCUUGGUUCUC